GAAAUGUUGGGGUUAAGUCCCGCAACGAGCGCAACCCUUWUCCUUUUGUUGCCAGCGGUUAGGCCGGGAACUCAAAGGAGACUGCCAGUGAUAAACUGGAGGAAGGUGGGGAUGACGUCAAGUCAUCAUGGCCCUUACGAGUAGGGCUACACACGUGCUACAAUGGCGCAUACAAAGAGAAGCGACCUCGCGAGAGCAAGCGGACCUCAUAAAGUGCGUCGUAGUCCGGAUUGGAGUCUGCAACUCGACUCCAUGAAGUCGGAAUCGCUAGUAAUCGUGGAUCAGAAUGCCACGGUGAAUACGUUCCCGGGCCUUGUACACACCRCCCGUCACACCAU
rnacentral:rRNA from 1 species